rnacentral:rRNA from 1 species
UACAGAGGGUGCGAGCGUUGUCCGGAAUCACUGGGCGUAAAGGGCGCGUAGGCGGUCUGCUAAGCGUGCGGUGAAAGCCCGGGCUCAACCCCGGGUCGGCCGUGCGAACUGGUGGACUGGAGCUUGUCAGAGGCAGGCGGAAUUCCGGGUGUAGCGGUGGAAUGCGUAGAGAUCCGGAAGAACGACCGGAGGCGAAGGCGGCUUGCUGGGCUCGGUCUGACGCUGAGGCGUGAAAGCGUGGGGAGCGAACAGG